rnacentral:rRNA from 1 species
GACGAACGCUGGCGGCGUGCCUAAUACAUGCAAGUGGGACGCAAGGGAACACACUGUGCUUGCACACCGUGUUUUCUUGAGUCGCGAACGGGUGAGUAACGCGUAGGUAACCUGCCUAUUAGCGGGGGAUAACUAUUGGAAACGAUAGCUAAUACCGCAUAAUAUUAAUUAUUGCAUGAUAAUUGAUUGAAAGAUGCAAGCGCAUCACUAGUAGAUGGACCUGCGUUGUAUUAGCUAGUUGGUAAGGUAAGAGCUUACCAAGGCGACGAUACAUAGCCGACCUGAGAGGGUGAUCGGCCACACUGGGACUGAGACACGGCCCAGACUCCUACGGGAGGCAGCAGUAGGGAAUCUUCGGCAAUGGACGAAAGUCUGACCGAGCAACGCCGCGUGAGUGAAGAAGGUUUUCGGAUCGUAAAGCUCUGUUGUAAGACAAGAACGUGUGUGAGAGUGGAAAUUUCACAC